UACGAUAAGUUCUUCCAGGGCAUCCCGCGAACCGGUCCUUAACUGCCAUGGGUGCGACCAGCAAAACCAUGCACCCACAGCCCACCAUUCAGUCGCAUUUUAGUUGGAUAAUUACGACCAUGAAGCAUGGCCAGAUGUUUCGAGCACGCAGCUCAACAAGAUACUAGAAAGGUCUAAAACUGUAAUUAUCCCAUCAACUGAGCUAGUGGUAAUUAAGCAUGGCUAAGCAUAUAGUUCUAGCUAAGUCACAUAAGUAACAUGAGCUAGUCGAUUUAUUACCCAAUGUUGACAAAGGAUAGAUAUCAAGUAAACAUGGCACAAGCGAGCAGAUAGGUAAACCCUGAUCCCGUGUAAUUAGCAAAACAUGCAUAUUUAUUUGCAAACAGUAAAACAUUUGUAAAUUAGGAUCAACAUGCUCAAGGGGAAUGUGUGACUUGCCUUGCUUCUUCAAACAAUCUUCCGAACUCUUUUCCUCGCGACCGCGGACUUCCGAAACGACGGAAACUACACGCUGGCACGCAAAACGAGGAAAAACUCUAAUAAAAACCAAGGAAACAGUACAUAAAAAGUAAACAAACAUGUAGAGCUCAAUUUUAGAUGAAUUUUGCAAGUUGAAUGGCUCAAUUCGGAGUUCGAAUGAAUUAGAUAUGAAUUUUAGAAGUUUUGAGCCAUUUAAAUAAAUUUCUAGAAUUAAACUCGAUUUAUUGCGCAAUUAUUAAUUAUUUUUACAAAGGAAAAGGAUCUCGCCGACGUCAGCAAGGGGCGGCCGGCGCCGACACGUGGGCCCCACACGUCAGCGGCACUAAGAAAGGGAGAGGGGGCGGCUGGCAGGCGGGCCCCACCGGCAGCGGCUCAAGGGCGCCGGUCCACCGUGGACCGAGACCACCGAGGCGGUCCACCGUCAGUCCACGGGAACCGACGGCCCGGAUCGGCCCAAAGCCGAUCGGACGGCCACGAGGCGGCGCGGCUGGGGCACGGGCACGGCAUGAAGCCGGCUCGGCCGAGACAUGGCGCGGCGGCGGCAAGGGGGAGGCGGCAAGGGGGAGGCAAGGGGCUGCAGCAGCCGGCGACGUGGAACGGCGGCGGGCGGCCGGAGGACAGCGGCGCGCACGGGGACGGCGACGCACCCCAAGAGGCGGCGGUCGGCAAGAAAGGGGGACGGGAAAAAAAGGAAGGGAGGAGAGAUCCUCACCGGAAGCGGCGGCCGACGCGGAGGAAGA
rnacentral:lncRNA from 1 species